rnacentral:tRNA from 1 species
GGGGUUAUAGCUCAGUGGUAGAGCACAUGCUUAGCACGCAUGAGGUCCUGAAUUCAAUACUCAGUGCCUCCA